UCUUGUCAGAGCCAUAUCUCUCUGCAGUUCUCAGCUGGUUUCCUGAGGCUAAGCAGGGUUGAAUCUGGUCAGUACCUGGAUGGGAGGCCUCCUAGGGAAAACUAGCUACAGGAA
rnacentral:rRNA from 1 species